UGCCUCUCUUUUGCCUAUAGGGACCCAGUCGCCUGUUCUGGAGGCCAGCUCUGAGGCUGCAUGACCAUGGAAGCAGAGUCGGGAUUUCCCUCUAUUCGGAUCAAAGAUCAAGAUAAAUGUAUCUACAGGUUAGCAGUUGAAUUGAUCUGGAGGGAAAAGAAAAAUGAAAAACAGGUGGGUGAGGAAACGAAGAGGAAGGAAAUGUGGGGACUACAAUGAAAACUGAACUUCUGCUUAUGUUCAGGUUGUGCUAACAGCCUUUUCCUACUUUUAUAUUUAACAUAGAAAGGAUUUAGGACUCCAUUUUUCUAAAUUCUCUGAAGAGAAGUAGCUGAUUUCCUGAGCACUGGAAUAAAAAUUUGGCAUGCCAAAACUUUUUUCUUCUU
rnacentral:lncRNA from 1 species